UACGGAGGGUGCGAGCGUUGUUCGGAAUUACUGGGCGUAAAGGGCGCGUAGGCGGCACAGCAAGUCGGGAGUGAAAGCCCGGGGCUCAACCCCGGAAUGGCUUUCGAAACUGCUGAGCUAGAGUACAGAAGGGGCAACCGGAAUUCCCAGUGUAGCGGUGAAAUGCGUAGAUAUUGGGAAGAACACCUGAGGCGAAGGCGGGUUGCUGGGCUGAUACUGACGCUGAGGCGCGAAAGCCAGGGGAGCAAACGGG
rnacentral:rRNA from 1 species